UACGUAGGGGGCAAGCGUUGUCCGGAAUCAUUGGGCGUAAAGAGCGUGUAGGCGGCCCGGUAAGUCCGCUGUGAAAGUCCAGGGCUCAACCCUGGGAUGCCGGUGGAUACUGUCGGGCUCGAGUCCGGAAGAGGAGUGUGGAAUUCCUGGUGUAGCGGUGAAAUGCGUAGAUAUCAGGAGGAACACCUGUGGCGAAAGCGGCUCACUGGACCACAACUGACGCUGAUGCACGAAAGCUAGGGGAGCAAACAGG
rnacentral:rRNA from 1 species